UCUGUUGCUGGGGCAGCACAGAGAUCCCACCCUCGUCGCCAUGUUGUUAUACCCUUGGGGCAACUGUUUUAGGAAGAAAUCACUGGAGACACAGAGCGCUGUAAACCUUGAAAGCAGCCAUUUAUUGCCACACACAGAACUAACCAAAAACCAGCCCAAACUGGCUGGGCUAUGCCCUAAUAAUCUAACGCAGUUGCCACAACAACACAAGAUUCUAUUACCACAACAACCAAAUACAUAACAGGCCAGACAGUUUAUGUCACAUUUCAGUCUUUAGUCUGCCAAUGGGAUGGUGCAGGUCUGUGCUGACUCUCACUCAGGGCAGACUGUAAGGUUAUCCCAUUCUAAUUAAACAUUUUUUUCUAGUAAAAAAAGCUGUUGCUGCUUUUGAAAGUGAGGCACUAAUAUCACUAAUGUCAGCACCUUGGAAUGGUGCAAAGAAAUGAUCACCCAUCUCAAUCAUGCAAGGCUCCCGCUGAUCCCGUGUUGGUUUUCCCUUGAACAAAAAAUGAAGCAAACCAGCUGAGCAGCAAACAGUGGAGGCUAACAGAGGAAGUCUGCCUGGGAUCUGUCCAAGAGGAGGCACACUAAGUGCUGCAUUAGGGGGGGCUGUGUUGACAGAAUCUAUACUGGAUCCGCUACUUCUGCUACUGCUACUGAUGCCAAAGGUCAGAAUCAUUCACAAGCCAAGCUCCAUAAAAAGGAUAUACUACUGGAAACCAGAACUUCAAGAAGAGGAUCACCAGAGACCAAGAUUCUGGCAAUCAAGGUCCAGUAAAUUCUCUUGAAAAAUGGAGCAAACUAGAAGCUGAGGCAGGCCUCCUUGAGCUUUAAAGGAAUCCUAGAGCAGGAACAUAUUUUGUACCUUUUAAACACUGAGUAGCACGUAGCUAAUUAUACUUUCUUCCCUGUUAGUGCUUUGUGACAACUCAUGCCCCAUUCUGUUUACUCAUGUUAGUGAAAACUUACUCAGGCAAGUAGCAAAGAGUCCUGUGGCACCUUAUAGACUAACAGACGUAUUGGAGCAUGAGCUUUUGUGGGUGAAUACCCACUUCGUCAGAUGCAUGCAGGCAAGUAGUUUCAUUGCUGCUUCUGUCAGUAAGUGCUCUCUGACAUGAGUAAGGAUGCCAGAAGUAGGAUCUUCAAUAGCCCAUAAAACUAUACUCUGAACAGAAAGUAUACAUUAAGGGUACAGAAA